rnacentral:rRNA from 1 species
UACAGAGGGGGCAAGCGUUAUUCGGAAUUACUGGGCGUAAAGGGCGCGUAGGCGGUUUGUUAAGUUGGAUGUGAAAACUCUGGGCUUAACCCAGAGCCUGCAUCCAAAACUAGCAAGCUAGAGUUCUGGAGGGGAUAAUGGAAUUCCUGGUGUAGCGGUGAAAUGCGUAGAUAUCAGGAGGAACACCGGUGGCGAAGGCGGAUCUCUGGGCCUUACCUGACGCUGAGGCGCGAAAGCUAGGGGAGCGAACAGG